rnacentral:rRNA from 1 species
UACCGCAUACGAUCGUACGGAUAGAAAGGCGGGGGAUCGCAAGACCUCGCGCGAGUGGAGCGGCCGAUGUCAGUAUUAGGUAGUUGGUGGGGUAAAGGCUCACCAAGCCAACGAUCUGUAGCUGGUCUGAGAGGACGACCAGCCACACUGGAACUGAGACACGGUCCAGACUCCUACGGGAGGCAGCAGUGGGGAAUUUUGGACAAUGGGCGCAAGCCUGAUCCAGCCAUUCCGCGUGCAGGAUGAAGGCUUCGGGUUGUAAACUGCUUUUGUACGGAACGAAACGGCGAGCUCUAAUACAGUUUGCUAAUGACGGUACCGUAAGAAUAAGCACCGGCUAACUACGUG